GUUGCCAGCAUUCAGUUGGGCACUCUAAGGUGACUGCCGGCUAAAAGUCGGAGGAAGGUGGGAUGACGUCAAAUCAUCAUGCCCCUUAUGACCUGGGCUACACAACGUGCUACAAUGGGCGGUACAAAGGGUCGCGAACCCGCGAGGGGGAGCCAAUCCCAAAAAAGCCGCUCUCAGUUCGGAUUGCAGGCUGCAACUCGCCUGCAUGAAGCCGGAAUCGCUAGUAAUCGCGGAUCAGCAUGCCGCGGUGAAUACGUUCCCGGGCCUU
rnacentral:rRNA from 1 species